GACGAACGCUGGCGGCGUGCCUAACACAUGCAAGUCGAGCGAGGAGAGUUCCUUCGGGAACAAACCUAGCGGCGGACGGGUGAGUAACACGUGGGCAACCUGCCUUGUAGAGGGAAUAGCCUUCCGAAAAGGAAGAUUAAUACCGCAUAACACUACAGUUUCGCAUGAAACAGUAAUUAAAGGAGUAAUCCGCUACAAGAUGGGCCCGCGGCGCAUUAGCUAGUUGGUGAGGUAACGGCUCACCAAGGCGACGAUGCGUAGCCGACCUGAGAGGGUGAUCGGCCACAUUGGGACUGAGACACGGCCCAGACUCCUACGGGAGGCAGCAGUGGGGAAUAUUGCACAAUGGGGGAAACCCUGAUGCAGCAACGCCGCGUGAGUGAUGAAGGUUUUCGGAUCGUAAAGCUCUGUCUUCGGGGACGAUAAUGACGGUACCCGAGGAGGAAGCCACGGCUAACUACGUG
rnacentral:rRNA from 1 species